CUACUCAGACAAGAGUAAGAUACAAUAAAGAAGAAAAAUAUUUUCUUCUUGUGAUAAGAACUGUUAGGAUUUACUCUCUUCACAACUUUCCUGGACUUCAUACAGCAGAGUUAGCCAUAGUCAUCAUGAUGCUGUAUGUGACCUUUCUACAAGGUGGAUGAGAAGUGCCCUGUGACCUUGUGUUGGGGACAUAUAAUUGAAAACAAAAUCUCCUCCCAACCCAGGAAACUUCUCCAUGAAGGUAGAAGAGGAAGAAAACAACUUAUUAUUAAAUAAGAAUGUGAUAUGCAUCCCAUGCAAUCUGUUAAAGACAAUGCCAAUGCAGAAAGAAACCUCACCCCCUCUUCUGGAGCCAAGGAGAUACAAUCCCUACACACAUAUUCUCAAGAUAAACCUGAACUGGUCCUCAAGAAAGAAGAUUUGACAGCACCAUUUGUCACACAGUUCAACCUAAAUUCACCAAGUAACUGGGAAACCCAAUUUCUUAAGAAAUUGAAAUACAUCUGCACCCAGGAAGGACUGCACGGUAUAAUGGUUAGUGCAUUCACUCUGCAACCAGACUCAAUUCGUUUCUUGUUUCUGCUUCGUGGGCAAGUUGCAUAACCACUCUGGUCCUCAACAGGUGAAAUGGGACUGAAAAAGGAACCCACCUCAAGCUAAUUAAAUAACUAAGUUAUUAUAAUGUGCCUAGAAAAAUGCCUACAAAGGAUAACUGUGCCAUUCCAAAACAUGACUCCUAGGCAUAAGGAUUACUUUUGAGCUGAUUAUUUUUAAGAAACAACAGACACAGUAGCAGCUCUGAAAACAUAAUAGAAGUUACCCUUAAGAAAGAUUUACAUUGACAAAGGAAAUCUGCGUUUGAAUCUUUCUCUCUGUACCAGGAAGAUAGGGACACUCCAAAUCAUAAGAAACUCUUAACACUGGAGAAGGAAUUAAAUCUACAUGACAACCUUGCUCUUACUUAGAGUGCUUUUCCUGACAAC